GAAUAUUGGACAACGGGGGGAACCCUGAUCCAGCCAUGCCCCGUGUGUGAAGAAGGCCUUUUGGUCGUCAACCACUUUAAGUGAGGAGCAGGCUCCUCUACUUAACACCCAGGGAUAGAGUACGUUACUCGCAGAAUAAGCACCGGCCAACUCGGUUCCAGCCGCCGCGGUAAUACAGAGGGUGCAAGCGUUAAUCGGAUUUACUGGGCGUAAAGCGCGCGUAGGUGGCCAAUUAAGUCAAAUGUGAAAUCCCCAAGCUUAACUUUGGAAUUGCAUUCGAUACUGGUUGGCUAGAGUAUGGGAGAGGAUGGUAGAAUUCCAGGUGUAGCGGUGAAAUGCGUAGAGAUCUGGAGGAAUACCGAUGGCGAAGGCAGCCAUCUGGCCUAAUACUGACACUGAGGUGCGAAAGCAUGGGGAGCAAACA
rnacentral:rRNA from 1 species